UACGUAGGGUGCAAGCGUUAAUCGGAAUUACUGGGCGUAAAGCGUGCGCAGGCGGCUAUGCAAGACAGAUGUGAAAAUCCCCCGGGCUCAACCUGGGAACUGCAUUUGUGACUGCAUGGCUAGAGUGCGGCAGAGGGGGAUGGAAUUCCGCGUGUAGCAGUGAAAUGCGUAGAUAUGCGGAGAACACCGAUGGCGAAGGCAAUCCCCUGGGCCUGCACUGACGCUCAUGCACGAAAGCGUGGGGAGCAAACAGG
rnacentral:rRNA from 1 species